rnacentral:rRNA from 1 species
UACAGAGGUCUCAAGCGUUGUUCGGAUUCAUUGGGCGUAAAGGGUGCGUAGGUGGCCAACUAAGUCAGACGUGAAAUCCCUCGGCUUAACCGGGGAACUGCGUCUGAUACUGGAUGGCUAGAGUUUGGGAGAGGGAUGCGGAAUUCCAGGUGUAGCGGUGAAAUGCGUAGAUAUCUGGAGGAACACCGGUGGCGAAGGCGGCAUCCUGGACCAACACUGACGCUGAGGAGCGAAAGCCAGGGGAGCAAACGGG